UGGGGAAUCUUGCGCAAUGGGGGAAACCCUGACGCAGCGACGCCGCGUGCGGGAUGAAGGCCUUCGGGUUGUAAACCGCUUUCAGCAGGGACGAGGCCUUAUGGUGACGGUACCUGCAGAAGAAGCUCCGGCUAAAUACGUGCCAGCAGCCGCGGUAAUACGUAUGGAGCAAGCGUUAUCCGGAUUCAUUGGGCGUAAAGCGCUCGUAGGCGGUCUGUUAGGUCGGCAAGUUAAAUCCGGGGGCUCAACCCCCGUCCGCUUCCGAUACCGGCAGACUUGAGUUUGGUAGGGGAAGGUGGAAUUCCUAGUGUAGCGGUGGAGUGCGCAGAUAUUAGGAAGAACACCGGUGGCGAAGGCGGCCUUCUGGGCCAUAACUGACGCUGAGGAGCGAAAGCUAGGGGAGCGAACAGG
rnacentral:rRNA from 1 species